UGCGUGUGUGCGGCGUGUUGAUUUGACUCGCUACUACUGCUGUUUCUACUGCUGCCGUUAUACGUGUUUUUUUUUUCAAUCGCCUAUCAAACACAUCGGCUAACACAGCCCGGCCAGAACGAGAUAGCAGAUCGCGCACAUGCACGAGAUUCUGUACCUUUUACCUUGUUUGGGGUUUGUACGCUCAACAAUCCAUGGCUAAAACGGCAUGGCUCUCUUUACCUAAAACGGUGCUAGAACUGGCGUCGAUUUGGAGUUCUAGAAUCGCCGAGAUGCUUCCUUCGAAAGAGCUCUAGCCGAUGCUCCGUCUGUUCAAACAGCGAUCACCACUGUAUUAGUGAACAUAAUAAAUU